CUCUGCCAGAACUUGGAUUUUAGACUUCUGGCCUCCAGAGGGAUGCAAGAAUAAACUGUCAUCUGAAGCCACCAGCUUCCUGUGCAUCUAUUCAGAUUAUGAAGAAAGUUCCUGGAUCUCAUUCAGUAAGAAUCCAGCUGGAGACCAUUUUUAAAUUAAUAUGCAGCUGAUAUGCACAUUAAAUUUAUCAAUCAUUAAAAAAGAAUUAUAAUGA